rnacentral:rRNA from 1 species
UACGUAGGUGGCAAGCGUUGUCCGGAUUUACUGGGCGUAAAGAGCGCGCAGGCGGUCAGAUAAGUCGAAUGUGAAAGCCCCCGGCUCAACUGGGGAGGGUCAUUCGAUACUGUUCGACUCGAAGGCAGGAGAGGGAAGUGGAAUUCCCGGUGUAGUGGUGAAAUGCGUAGAUAUCGGGAGGAACACCAGUGGCGAAGGCGGGUUGCUGGGCCGACACUGACGCUGAUGCGCGAAAGCCAGGGGAGCGAACGGG